rnacentral:rRNA from 1 species
GACGAACGCUGGCGGCGCGCCUAACACAUGCAAGUCGAGCGGAGAUACUUGAAGGAAGUUUUCGGAUGGAAUUUGAGUAUUUUAGCGGCGGACGGGUGAGUAACGCGUGAGUGACCUGCCUUCCACAGGGGGAUAACGUACCGAAAGGUACACUAAUACCGCAUGAGACCCCAGCACUGCCUGGUUCAGGGGUCAAAGGAGCAAUCCGGUGGAAGAUGGACUAGCGUCCGAUUAGAUAGUUGGUGGGGUAACGGCCUACCAAGUCAGCGAUCGGUAGCCGAACUGAGAGGGUGAUCGGCCACAUUGGAACUGAGAGACGGUCCAAACUCCUACGGGAGGCAGCAGUGGGGAAUAUUGGGCAAUGGGGGAAACCCUGACCCAGCGACGCCGCGUGAGGGAAGAAGGUUUUCGGAUUGUAAACCUCUGUUCUUGGUGAAGAGGGAAAGACGGUAGCCAAGGAGGAAGCCCCGGCUAACUACGUGCCAGCCGCCGCCGUAA